rnacentral:piRNA from 1 species
UCCUCUUCAGAGUGUGGAUGGUAGAUGAGU